UACGAAGGGGGCUAGCGUUGUUCGGAAUUACUGGGCGUAAAGUGCACGUAGGCGGAUAUUUAAGUCAGGGGUGAAAUCCCGGGGCUCAACCCCGGAACUGCCUUUGAUACUGGGUAUCUCGAGUCCGAGAGAGGUGAGUGGAAUUCCGAGUGUAGAGGUGAAAUUCGUAGAUAUUCGGAGGAACACCAGUGGCGAAGGCGGCUCACUGGCUCGGUACUGACGCUGAGGUGCGAAAGCGUGGGGAGCAAACAGG
rnacentral:rRNA from 1 species